CCUACGGGUGGCAGCAGUGAGGAAUAUUGGUCAAUGGACGAGAGUCUGAACCAGCCAAGUAGCGUGAAGGAUGACUGCCCUAUGGGUUGUAAACUUCUUUUAUAAAGGAAUAAAACGAGGCACGUGUGCCUUUUUGCAUGUACUUUAUGAAUAAGGAUCGGCUAACUCCGUGCCAGCAGCCGCGGUAAUACGGAGGAUCCGAGCGUUAUCCGGAUUUAUUGGGUUUAAAGGGAGCGUAGAUGGGUUGUUAAGUCAGUUGUGAAAGGUUGCGGCUCAACCGUAAAAUUGCAAUUGAUACUGGCAGUCUUGAGUACAGUUGAGGGAGGCGGAAUUCGUGGUGUAGCGGUGAAAUGCUUAGAUAUCACGAAGAACCCCGAUUGCGAAGGCAGCUUACUAAACUGUGACUGACAUUGAUGCUCGAAAGUGUGGGUAUCAAACAGGAUUAGAUACCCGGGUAGUC
rnacentral:rRNA from 1 species